CUGGCAUACGAAUGGGAAGCGCGCCGUCGUCGACGUCGCUCUGUGGUUUGCGUUCAUUUCUGCGUUUAAACCGAUUCCUUUACGGUUUUUUUUUUCUUUUUUCUUUUACAGGUACUUUGUCAAGAGUAACAAACGACAUCUGGGAGACGCUGAUGGACGCUGCGUCUAGUCAACGACCGUAGGUUGUGCACGGCUGCCGGAGCACCUUCGGGAAACGCUAACCGCCGAUUCAAGCCUGCACAGCAGUGACUGGAGAUACAGCAACCUUGUAUGAAAAGUGCCGAUAAGACAGUGCAGCCAACAGAAGGUUGCAUCUCUGCGCCCACGGUCCUGCUCGACAGUGGCUGAGACGUGCAACACAGUUGCGCCCAACUUCCCUCUAUGCUACAAGCACCCCAGGAGCUACUAUCGCCCAAAGAUGUCACAGGUGGUCAUGGUUCUUUGAGGCAG